rnacentral:rRNA from 1 species
UGCCAGCCGCCGCGGUAAUACGGAGGGUGCAAGCGUUGUUCGGAAUUACUGGGCGUAAAGCGCACGUAGGCGGAUUGGUCAGUUGGGGGUGAAAUCCCGAGGCUCAACCUCGGAACUGCCCUCAAUACUGCCAAUCUUGAGUUCGAGAGAGGUGAGUGGAAUUCCUAGUGUAGAGGUGAAAUUCGUAGAUAUUAGGAAGAACACCAGUGGCGAAGGCGGCUCACUGGUCCGAUACUGACGCUGAGGUGCGAAAGCGUGGGGAGCGAACAGGAUUAGAUA